UGGCCUCCGCAUAUGUGAAGUUGCCUGUGU
rnacentral:piRNA from 1 species